rnacentral:lncRNA from 7 species
AGCGCUAGCGCGUCGCCCCUGCGCCGGGGCUGGAGCGCGAGCGCCGCCGUUAGUUCCGCCACGAUCUGCUCCUCGCGUCCCACCCAGGCGUCGUAGAACGCCGCCAUAUCGUCGGAGCAAGACAUGGCGGGCGGUGGGAGGGGGAGGACUUGGACGUUGCUCUUGGGGCGAGCGCGGCUGUGGCUGUGGCUGCGGCGGCACCUUUGCUGCGGUGCGCGAACAUAAAGUUCACGGUUUCUUUGCCUUUAAGGUUCUCGAUUGCGUGGUCUGCUUUCUUAGGCGCGGAGGCAAACGCGCAACGGCGAACGGGGGCCGGGGAACAGACGAUGCGCAUGGAAGCGCGCCUGGUGGCGGCCGCGGAAGGUGACGACGGCGUAGGUCCAAGCUAGUUGACUAUAAACAACACGACGUCCAGUAGACCAGUACGACUAGGUGUAGGACUGCGCUCUGCGUUAUAUUAAAUAAAUGGGGCUUCGUUUCUUUUUCCCUGUUGCCUGCUGGGCCUCCCCUGUUUUAGUAUCCAUCAGGGGAACGAGGACAGAGCAUGCCCGCUUGCACGCGACCGCGAGUCGCGAGGGGAGCGGAGAAUUCCGCGGCGGUACGUCACCGUGGCAGAGGCUGCCAAUUCGCAUUUCGCGUCGGUGCCGCGUGGCCUUCCGGCUCGCUGGCGCUGGGGUUGGUGUUGCUCGUAGGUGGUUCACGCCGACCCACGAGCCUGGAGAAAUCUUGUAUGAGAGGUUCAGCGGAUGAAUAUGGCCUAGGUGGCAAACCCCUGCCAUCUGUUGCUUCGACAUUUAUGUAGGCUGAUGUGCUGAGAACUCUGAAGUGAAAUUGCAUUUACCUCAACAA